UGGGGAAUUUUGGACAAUGGGCGAAAGCCUGAUCCAGCAAUGCCGCGUGUGUGAAGAAGGCCCUCGGGUUGUAAAGCACUUUUGUCCGGAAAGAAAUCCUUGGCUCUAAUACAGUCGGGGGAUGACGGUACCGGAAGAAUAAGCACCGGCUAACUACGUGCCAGCAGCCGCGGUAAUACGUAGGGUGCAAGCGUUAAUCGGAAUUACUGGGCGUAAAGCGUGCGCAGGCGGCUUGCUAAGACCGAUGUGAAAUCCCCGGGCUCAACCUGGGAACUGCAUUGGUGACUGGCAGGCUAGAGUAUGGCAGAGGGGGGUAGAAUUCCACGUGUAGCAGUGAAAUGCGUAGAGAUGUGGAGGAAUACCGAUGGCGAAGGCAGCCCCCUGGGCCAAUACUGACGCUCAUGCACGAAAGCGCGGGGAGCAAACAGGAUUAGAUACCCUGGUAGUCCACGCCCUAAACGAUGUCAACUAGUUGUUGGGGAUUCAUUUCCUUAGUAACGUAGCUAACGCGUGAAGUUGACCGCCUGGGGAGUACGGCCGCAAGAUUAAAACUCAAAGGAAUUGACGGGGUCAUAGCUGUUUCCU
rnacentral:rRNA from 1 species